UACGUAGGGGGCAAGCGUUGUCCGGAAUCAUUGGGCGUAAGGCGCGCGUAGGCGGCCCUGUAAGUCCGUUGUGAAAGUCAAAGGCUCAACCUUUGAAAGCCGAUGGAUACUGCAGGGCUAGAGUCCGGAAGAGGCGAGUGGAAUUCCUGGUGUAGCGGUGGAAUGCGCAGAUAUCAGGAGGAACACCAAUAGCGAAGGCAGCUCGCUGGGACGGUACUGACGCUAAGGCGCGAAAGCGUGGGGAGCAAAC
rnacentral:rRNA from 1 species